GCCCGGACCCACCAGGAAGACCAGGGAGGCGGCGCUAGAGCCCUGCUGCAGCCAAGACCCGGGCGCACGGCGGGCAAAGCCGGGGCUGUUGCGCCAAGCCUGGCCGCAGCGGAUUCUGGCUCUUCUCGGCCCCGCCUCCGUCCCUGGCCUCUUCCUAUGGCCCUGGUCGGGUCUUCCACUCCACUGUCUGGCUCAGAAAGGACUGAGACGCGCUUGGUGCGCCGCAGGCCGGCUGCUGCCAUAAAUCUCCGCGCCGGCCCUGCUUCCUGCUGUUUAUGCGCGGGUAUUCCGGGCUGGCCUCGCAUCCCGCGCCAAGCCAAGCGCCUUGCUCUCCUGGUCACGGCCUGGAGGCCCCGACUCCAAGUAGGGAAUCAUGCCAGAAUUUCCCCAUUCGCCAGAGAGGGAACGGCCUCCCUCCCACUCAGUGCCACCACCAUCCAUCACCAGAGUUUCGGACCCCAAGGUGGCCAGAGCUUCACCGAUCAUCUUUGGGGUGGGGACCCCCCCCUCCUGGCCUGACACUUCCUCCUAUGAAGGUUCGGUUACCCUCCUAUGAAGGAUGGGUGCACGGACCGCCUGCAGUCGUUGAGGAGCAAGAACAGGGCCAAGGACUGAGCGAUUUCUCAGCUCAGGCGACCACCCACCUCCUCGGACCCUGCUUAGUCCUGCACCCCGGGAUCCCUCUGCGGGCGCUAGAGGGGCCUGGGGGCAGCGGGGAGCUUGAGAUGAGCCGGAUGACUGCAGGCGCGGUGUCGGAGACCUAUCGGGUUCCCAACCCCGCGCCAUGCCACCCCCUGCCGAGGAUACCCCUUUUCAGCCUUGGUGCAAAUAGACCUUGAAGAAAGCAGGAAUCGGUCGUUUGCGCUGGUGGCAGCCUGGUGGGGGCGACGGUCUUCCUAUCCUAGUCAGGGGGACAGCCCCAGAGAGUACAUUUCCAACAAUAACGUUUAAUGUCGUCAGAGUUUUAUCUUUUUUGUUUUUUCUUGCUAGAGGGGCAAGGAACAGGCCUUUCCACGGGUGCCCGACAUCAACCGAGCAAUCCGGUCGCGCGACAGAGCCCGACCACCACCGAAGAGGUUUUGGGGGCUUUUGGUGGGGACAAUCGUGGAGAGAAAAGCAUUCAUCCCCGCCUUGGUGCACCCCCCCCAAAGUCUCACGGUGACAGUGACAUGACCCCAAAAAGCGAUGGCAAAGGGGGAGGCGGUUGGAAACCUGGCUCUGAGGUUGCCCUCACCCAAGGAGCUCCGGCUUCUUCCUAGAAUUUCUAGAAGCACUUUCGGAGGGACUGAAGGCUUCCGGCCCGACGCAGAGGAAUUUGAGCCUCGCCCCGGCGGCAGCCUGGGAGCGGAGAGGCUGCAGAGCCACAUUCCGCCCGAGCCGCCCCUGCUAGGCCCCAGGAAGCGCCGCGGAAAACAAAGCGCUGCGGUUUCAGCCCAAGGUUAAAGUCCACCGCGAGCGUUCCCCCCCCCCCCCCCCCCCCGGAAUCUGAGAGCGAUAGCGUUUCUCCAAAUAAACCGCCAAUAAAUCAGCUCCUGGGGCCGCCUGCUGAAGAGCUCGGGUGACCUUGGGGAAUGUUUCCUGCCAGACCCGUCCGAGGACAGGCUUGGGGGAGGGGGCCAGAGUCAGCCCUACCCCCACCCCAGAGACACAAGAAGGGGGUGGCCAAGGGCGUUUAUUGUGGUAUGUGUGCCCACAGGGGAUGGGGACGAUCUGUGGUGGGGGUGUGGCACUGUGACUAUUUGGGGGCUGUGUGCGGUUUGUGGGGCUUUGGAAAAGGAGGAUCGGCUACUCUGGGAAGGAUGUGUCCGGCGCCUGAGCUUCGCUGCACUGUACUAGGCCCUGGGGAACCAACCCCCACCGACAUGCCGGGCCUCUGUCUUAGGGGGCCUCGGUCUUUGUCUGGGUGUGACUGGGUGUGUUCCGCAGCGAGUUUGUGUGGGGUGUGACUAAUGGGAUUUAUGUAUGUCAGUGCCAGGGUGACUAAUGGAGGGCUUGGCAGCACGUGUGUUUGGGGAGGGACACUGCACCUAGGUGGGGAGUCCGUGUCCCAGGAGGGGGCUGCCUAGUCUCUCAGAAGUUCCACUCCCCUCCCCCACCCCUGGUCCCUGCUUUGUUUGGGCUUCUGCACCUCCCCAGCAGGCCCGUGCAUGCUAAGGGUUCUGGAGCAAAUUCCACUGCCAACCCGGCCCCCAGAGGCCCUCCUCGCCUCCCACCUCCCUAACCCACGUGGUGCCUCCGGAUUGGGCUGCCAGCCCUCCCUCCCCCCUGUUUUCCUGUCUCUGAAAGUUCCCUGGGAUGUCCUGGGCAUCUCUCCCCUGGACCUGUGAUUUGGUUACUGUCCUAUCCAUUUCUGCUUGAGGGGCAGAAAGGAAAAGGGACAAUCACACAGCUGGAAAGUGGCAGCAAGCAUCAUCUACCAAGCCAGGCAGAGUGUCUGAAAGGUGAAACCCCAGCAUCUCCCCACUUUUGUGUGUGUGUGUGUGUGUGUGUGCACGCGCGCGUGCGUGUGCGUAUGCUGGGCAUGGAUCCCCUAGCUCAUGUGUGUUAAAGCUGAGCUCUCUACCAGUCAGCUACACUCCCAGCCCCUCAGCACACCUAACAAGCUGACCACCUGCCUUGCCACCCCCACCUGUAUCCUUUCAGUCCUCUCUCUUGGCUACUGUGGAAUUUGUCCUACCCCUGGUGGGGGGAGGGGAGGCAACGGAGGUCCGAGAUUGGUGGGAGUCCCUGGUUUGGCCUGGGGCAAGUAGAGAUUGGGUGAGGUCUGGCUAACCCAAGGCAGCAUUCCUCUGGAGUUCAGGAGGACCACGGCCAGCCUGUUAGGCAAGUGCUCUACCACUGAACUAUAGCCCCCGCCUUUUUAAGUUUUAUCUUGCCACAGGGUCCUACCUAAGUUGCCCAGACCGACCUCAAACUUGGGAUCCUCCUGCUUUAGCCUCCUAAGUAACUGGGAUUACGGGGUUCCCUUGGGGCCUUCUGAUUUUGCACAAGGUGUCCCUCAGCGGCUCUCCCUACUGCUUGCACACAUUCCGGGUCCGAGUGUGUCUUAGAAGUGGGGGAACCUAAGGCCACCCAGCCAGAGUGGCAGCAAUUAGGCCUGCCAUGGCUCUGCCCAGCUCCCUCCUGCAGGCUGGUGCCCCCUGGCCAGUGGGAACAUGUCAGAGGAGGGAAUGGCAGGGUCUGACCCUUCCCAGGUUGCUGGGCCAAUGGGCUCCCAGGUAUAUUCUCUCUCUCUCUCUCUCUCUCUCUCUCUCUCUCUCUCUCUCUCUCUCUCUCUCUCUCGUCUCACACACACACACACACACACACACACACACGUGUGCGUGUGCGAGCAUUCACAUACAUUCACUCUCUUCACCUCCCUCCCUAUUUUUUUUUUCCUUUUAUCCUUCUUUGGCAUUUUCUUUCAAGCAGAAAAUAAAAACAUUUCCCAUGGCUACGGCUUUGAAAGCUUGCCUUCCUGCCUGCCUCCAUUCUGUGCCCACCCCCACCCACAUCAAUGCAUUUCUACAAUCAGCAGAAAGUCAAAAACAAACCCCAAAGAUCAGGCCUUGACAGCCCCUUCCCAGGGUCCUUGCACUGUCUCUUCUUGUCUUGCUCUCUUGUCCCUAGAGAUGAGCAAGAGGCAAGAACCCACCCCCUGCAACAUACACACACGCACUCAUUUGCACACCCAAUUCCUGUGAACACAGGAAAUCUCUGAAGAACCUUCAAGAGUCACUCCUGCUAAAAAGACCUGCUCACUUGAUUCCUUCUGCUGCCCCCAGGGCAUCCCUGCCCAGACCUGCCCACUUGGCCCAGCUCCUUCCUCUGGGAGGUGGUCUCUUAUGGGAUGAGUGAUCUCCCCACAAAAUUCAUGUUCAUAUACCUCAAUAACUUCCAAUACCUCAAAAUGUGACCUUAUUUGGAAAUGGGGUCAUUGCAGAUGUAAUUCAUUAAGAUGAUGUCAUACUGGAGUGGGGUAGGCCCCAAUCCAAUAUGACUGGUGUCUUUUUAUAAAAAAGGGGAAUUUUGGAGACAGGCGGAUAUAGAGGAAAGACGAUGUGGAAAAACAUGGACAAGAGACCACCAUCUACACUCCAAAGAGGCCAAGACAGAUCCUCCCCUCUCAGCCUUCAGGAGGAACCAGCCCCUCUGAGACCCAACACCUUGAUCUUGAGCUUCAAGUCUCUAGAACUUGAAACAAUAAGUUUCUAUUGUUUACACCACUCAAUCUGUGGUACCUUAUUAUGGCAGCCUGAACAGAUUACUACACCGUUCCAGAUUCAAGUGCCUGCAAGAAUCAGGCUGGAGGGCUGGGGAUGUGGCUCAAGCGGUAGCGUGCUCGCCUGGCAUGUGCGGGUUGCUGGGUUCGAUCCUCAGCACCAC
rnacentral:lncRNA from 1 species